UACGAAGGGGGCUAGCGUUGCUCGGAAUCACUGGGCGUAAAGGGUGCGUAGGCGGGUCUUUAAGUCGGGGGUGAAAUCCUGGAGCUCAACUCCAGAACUGCCUUUGAUACUGAGGAUCUUGAGUGCGGGAGAGGUGAGUGGAACUGCGAGUGUAGAGGUGAAAUUCGUAGAUAUUCGCAAGAACACCAGUGGCGAAGGCGGCUCACUGGCCCGAUACUGACGCUGAGGCACGAAAGCGUGGGGAGCAAACAGG
rnacentral:rRNA from 1 species